GUGCUCGUUUUGGCAGCACAUAUACUAAAAUUGGAACGAUACAGAGAAGAUUAGCAUGGCCCCCGCGCAAGGAUGACACACAAAUUCAUGAAGCAUUCCAUAUUUUU
ensembl:snRNA U6 U6 spliceosomal RNA